GACAGGAUGUUUUGGUUGAGAAAUAUCCGGACAUGAUUUCAAGACGUGGAGCUAUAGAAUAUACAUCGCCCCGUGAUCAUUUUGAUAGAUUAUUAACGUUUACUAAUACCUAAAGUUGCAUUACAAAAGUAUUUCGAAGUGUUUUGUGAAAGUUUAUCGUCAACUUUUUUUAAUUUUUAAAAAUGACGUUGUGUUAUCAAACUCAGUUUUUUCCUUGAUUACACAGUCUUCAUAGAUCGAUAUCUAGGCUAUAUAUGGACCGAUUUAAUCGAAAAAAAGACCCAAAUAAAUGUUUAUGGGACAUCUAGGAGUGCCAAGAAAGAAGCUCGUCAAAGGACCUGAGCCCUAGGAUCAUGCCUCAGGACUACCUGGCCUGAUGACUCCUGGCUAUCCCCAGUCCACCUGAUCAUGCUACUGCUCCAGUUUCAAAUGUUCUGCCUGUGGCUGUAACAGGAUUAUAUUGUGCGUGAGUGCAGAGUUGGAUGGUGAGCCGUGCAUUGCAUGACGUGCAAUUUUGUGCUGUUUCUAUCAGAAUAAAUCUCCAUGACUGGUGCUACAAGUUGGAGUUCGUGUCGAUGAUUGAUUGUACACAACGCAAGAAGAUUACUGUUACACGGCUAUGGAACCCUGACCUGUUCACAGGACGUGCUACCUUGUCCCGGACCUGCUGUUUUCGACUCUCUCUACCGCACCUGCUGUCUCGACCUCUGAAUGCUCAGCUAUGAAAAGCCAACUGACAUUUACUCCUGAGGUACUGACCUGCACCCUAUACAACCACUGUGAUUCUUACUUGACGCUACUGGUCAUCUAUGAAUGUUUGAACAUCUGCCACCCGGCAGAAGAAAAGAAAAUGGCCACCCCUCAGAGCCUGGAUCAUCUUUAGGUUUCUUCCUAGGUUCCUGCCUUUCUAGGGAGUUUUUCCAAGCUCCCGUGCUUCUACAUCUGCAUUGCUUGCGGUUUGGGGUUUUAGGUGCUGAUCUGCUGAUGUAAAAAGGGCUUUAUAAAUACAUUUGAUUGAUUGAUUGAUUGAUUGAUUUAAGUGUCCCUAUGUUGCAAGAGACCUUACCAUUGAAAAGGCAGUGAAGUCGAAGGAUUUCUAUAUCAAGGAAGUGUCACGCCCUGGUCGAAGUAUUUUGUGUUUAUCUUUAUUUAUUUGGUCAGGCCAGGGUGUGGCAUGGGUUUUUUAUAUGUGGUGUGUAUGUAUUGGGAUUGUAGCUAGUGGGGUGUUCUAGUUAAUUCUAUGGCUGUCUGAAGUGGUUCUCAAUCAGAGGCAGGUGUUUAUCGUUGUCUCUGAUUGGGAACCAUAUUUAGGCAGCCAUAUUCUUUGAGUUUGUCGUGGGUGAUUGUCCUUAGUGUCCUUGUUCCUGUUUUUGUUAGUUUACACAAGUAUAGGCUGUUUCGGUUUUCGUUUGUUACGUUUAUUGUUUGUAGUGUUUGUAUUUAGAUUCGUGUUACGUUUGUUCAUUAAACAUGGAUCGCAAUCUACACGCUGCAUUUUGGUCCGACUCUCCUUCACACCUAGAAAACCGUUACAGGAAGGAGGGUCUUAUCGCCUCUGUGAUGACCAUCCUUACUGGCACCAGGCCCAAGGUCAGCUCCACAUCACUGGAAGGGACACCUGCUUUUUCAUUGUGUGGACCACCAAAGCCUCCAUCACCAUCCAGCUUGAAGACUUCUGACAGACUCAUUUAGCUCCUCCUGUCAGUACCUGUUUUCAGGAAACCCAAUGAUCAAAACAUAUUCCACACACACGGCUCCCAUAAGCAGCCAACUAAAGUAAUGUAGUUACCUUUAUCAUGGGCGCACUGGAAUUUCUAUCUUUGAUGUUCAGAUUAUUUCUUACCCCAUGUCUUACGAAAGCCCCCUGCCUGUACUUGACAUUGUUGAAAAGCAAGUUAACAAUGAAUAAAGACCAUACAAACAGUAGGCUCCUAGAAUAGAUUAUAUUACAUUCAAGUUUUGCUCAGCCCAGCCAAAUGAACUAAUGUACACUAAACAGAAAUAUAAAUGUAACAUGUAAAGUGUUUGUCCCAUGUUUCAUGAGCUGAAAUAAAAGAUCCCAUUUCUUUUCCAUAUGCACAAAAAGCUUAUUUCUCUCCAAUUUUGUGUACAAAUGUGUUUACAUCCCUGUUGGUGAGGAUUUCUUCUUUGCCA
ensembl:lncRNA